ensembl:lncRNA
GCAUUGUUGCCAUGCCAAUUCCUAUAAAAUUCAUCUAGUGUUCCUGUAAUUGUCAUUCUUCCCUUUAUGUACCAAACUUUUAACAUAUUCUGAUGUUCAGGCAUUUCAACUGUUCAGAUGGGAAUGUCUCAGCACUUUGACCAUCCGAAUCCUGUGAGGGAGAUGGAGUUCAGUUAUCAUGACAAAGCAACGGAGAACAAACAGAUCAUAAUUUGUAAUGUUUGUAAGACCAUCCUUAGAAAAGUGAUAGCAUUUAUUGGAAAAACAGCUUCUAAGGAGGAGAUUAAUCAGAAGCUUGAUAGAAUCUGUAAAAAAAUAAGAAUAAGUGGUUGUCAAAGUUUUUUGCAGAAAUAUAAAAAUAAAGUGGUCAAUAGUCUGAUCUCUGGAGACAAAGCAGGGACCAUCUGUAUCAAAUUAAAACUGUGCAAAAAGAUGGACAUGCAAACUAUACAGUAAUGUGAAUGCUUCAAGUAUAGAAUUGCAUUGUCAUUUAUGUUAUAAUUUGUUACACAUGACAAUAAAAUUAAAGCUCAAUAAUAAUCA